rnacentral:lncRNA from 1 species
GCAGGUGUUAGAGUGUAAGGUUGCUAUGCUGAAUAAUGAUAUGGACAUAUCUAGACUGGUGGGUUAUAUGAAACAUAUGGAGGGUGAAAAAAAGAAGCAGGUAGAGAUGGGAGAGAGGCAGAAUAAGAAGGUUAGAUAAUCAAAGUAGGUUGCGAAUCAGCAGAACAGUGAAAGAGAUGGUAGGAAGUGGACUAAGAAAAAGGAUUAGGAAAUUCUUAUUCGUCAGCCAGUG